GACGAACGCUGGCGGCGUGCCUAAUACAUGCAAGUCGAGCGAAUCAAUAGGAGCUUGCUCCUGUUGAUUAGCGGCGGACGGGUGAGUAACACGUGGGCAACCUGCCUGUAAGACUGGGAUAACACCGGGAAACCGGUGCUAAUACCGGAUAAUCCUUUUCCUCUCAUGAGGGAAAGCUGAAAGUCGGUUUCGGCUGACACUUACAGAUGGGCCCGCGGCGCAUUAGCUAGUUGGUGAGGUAACGGCUCACCAAGGCGACGAUGCGUAGCCGCCCUGGGAGGGUGAUCGGCCACACUGGGACUGAGACACGGCCCAGACUCCUACGGGAGGCAGCAGUAGGGAAUCUUCCACAAUGGACGAAAGUCUGAUGGAGCAACGCCGCGUGAGCGAUGAAGGCCUUCGGGUCGUAAAGCUCUGUUGUUAGGGAAGAACAAGUACCGGAGUAACUGCCGGUACCUUGACGGUACCUAACCAGAAAGCCACGGCUAACUACGUGCCAGCCGCCGCAGUAA
rnacentral:rRNA from 1 species